AGAGUUUGAUCAUGGCUCAGGACGAACGCUGGCGGCGUGCUUAACACAUACAAGUCGAACGGAAAGGCCCUUCGGGGUACUCGAGUGGCGAACGGGUGAGUAACACGUGGGUGAUCUGCCCUGCACUUCGGGAUAAGCCUGGGAAACUGGGUCUAAUACCGGAUACACCUCAUGGACUGCAUGGUCUGUGGGGGAAAGCUUUUGCGGUGUGGGAUGGGCCCGCGGCCUAUCAGCUUGUUGGUGGGGUGAUGGCCUACCAAGGCGACGACGGGUAGCCGGCCUGAGAGGGUGACCGGCCACACUGGGACUGAGAUACGGCCCAGACUCCUACGGGAGGCAGCAGUGGGGAAUAUUGCACAAUGGGCGCAAGCCUGAUGCAGCGACGCCGCGUGGGGGAUGACGGCCUUCGGGUUGUAAACCCCUUUCAGCACAGACGAAGCGCAAGUGACGGUAUGUGCAGAAGAAGGACCGGCCAACUACGUGCCAGCAGCCGCGGUAAUUC
rnacentral:rRNA from 1 species